rnacentral:misc_RNA from 1 species
AUGUCCAUUGAAGACAAUGUCAACACCAUACUUAUACAGCAAUUCUUCCAUUUCUACCCUCAUACACUCUGCUUCUCUGUAAUGUGCCUUGUAGGUGCUAUACCAGGGAGGAUGCCAUGUAGCCACCAACCAUGGAGUGACUUCUCUGUCAACUUUAGCUAGAUCUCUCUCCAACCACUUGUACUGAUCAGCUGAUUUGUUAUAGAAAAUGUAGGCACCCAACAUAAUAAAAUGUAUUCCCCCAGCAUUAAAAGAAUAAUAGAAUGUGGACGGUGAUCCACUCUCUUUUGAUGGGAAUGCAAAUCGAGAACUAUAAGCAACAAAUGUUUGAUUUUCUGCCUGUUGUUCUAUCUCAUGGUUCCCUUCAACCACCAUAAUUGGAAUUUUAGAUAUUACAGGCUGCAUGUACCUUCCCCAGUAGUCCCAGCGAGGCUGAUAUGUCUCAUGAAUGGGAGUUUGUGAAAAUGCACAAGAGUAGCAAUCAGACCCAGUUCCAUUAGUGAGAUACAAGUUAGCAUAAGUAACAUCUCCAAUCAAUAAAAGAAGAUCAGGAUGGUUUCUGAACAUGUGAUCAACUGUUGAAGUUGUAUUAUAUGUAAGACCUAAGUCUCCCACUAUUGCUAUUCUGCUGGGGUAAUUAUUGGGAACUGAAGCUGGCAUAGUCCUGAAAUGAUAAAUAUUACUCAUUGCUGGUAUAGAAGGAUCUCCACACUGAUAAUAAUAUUGUGUUUUAGGUUUCAACCCUGUGAGAAGAACAUGGUGAAUAAUUCCAGAACUAUAGUUUUGGAGGCCCUCAAAAGGAUACAAUUGAUUGUAAACAAGAGAAUAACCAGUAGCUUGAUGAGUUAACUGAAAUCUUGACAUUCCAUGUCCAACAACGCUAGCUACAGUGCUUGGAUUUAGUGGUCUUGUGUUGGCCCCAAUUUGAUAUUGGCCUUAUCCAUGCGAAUCAAGCCAAAGGGCUGAAGUAUAAAAGUAAAGAAACAAUGGGAAAAGAGACCUGUGAUCCAAGAAAUCCAAACUGAAUCAUGGGUUGCAGAGAGAGACACAGAAAUUUGCUCAGGCUCAAAAUCCUGAACCCUCCUACGUACUCGAGGGUCAGUAUCUGGCAAGUCCACAGCAUUCCCACGAAAGCUCUUGUCAAGAGGCACAGUCACGGGCUUAAAGGGUCCUUGGAGAGUCGUUUGUAUAUCCCCAUGAACAAGAAGUGGGCUUAGCAGAAGAUAAAAACAAAGUGCAAUAAUAGGCACUGAGACCAACCCCAUUGAACUACACAUAUCUGAGGAUUUAUAACUAUCUGCAUGAAUGAAAGAUUAUGAUCACCAAGCAAAAGAGAAGAAAGAGAGGGUGGCAAAAGAUUUUGAAGGUGAUGAAGGAAGAGGACAGUGUAAGAAAACCGUCAAGGCCAUCUUACCACAAGGAAGAGGGUGAAUUUGGGGAGCGAAAGGUGGCGUUUCCAGUGACGUAUUACCCAUAUAUAUAAUUAAUAAAUCAAAAGUAAUUAACCAAUGACACAUAUGCGUAGUAGUAAGGU